UACGUAGGAGGCGAGCGUUGUCCGGAUUUACUGGGCGUAAAGGGCGCGCAGGCGGCCCACCAGUACGAUGUGAAAUCUCCCUGCUCAACGAGGAGGGUGCACUGUAAACUGGUGAGCUAGAGGACGGUAGAGGGGGGUGGAAUUGCUGGUGUAGCGGUGAAAUGCGUAGAGAUCAGCAGGAACACCCGUGGCGAAGGCGGCCCCCUGGGCCGUACCUGACGACUGA
rnacentral:rRNA from 1 species